rfam:Myotis lucifugus cont2.14574, whole genome shotgun sequence.
ACCCUGGCAGCUCAGUUGGUUAGAGCACUAUCCUGAUAUGCCAAAGUUGUGGGUUCAAUCCCCAGUCAGGGCA